GUUCGCCAAAUAACUACGAGUAAAGACUUAAAAUUUAAAAGACUUGACGGUGUCUCACAACAACCUAGAGGAGCCUGUCUAAUAAACCGAUACCCCACGAUCAACCCAACCUCGCCUAGCCCAAAUCAGCCUAUAUACCGCCGUCGCCAGCCCACCUUAUGAAAGAAACAAAGUGAGCUAAACAGUCACACACUAAUACGACAGGUCGAGGUGUAGCUUACGGCGGGGACAAGAUGGGCUACAUUUUCUAAAACAGAAAAUACGAACCAACUAUGAAAUAAGAAACUGAAGGCGGAUUUAGCAGUACACUAAGAACAAAUAUACCUAGUAGAAACCAAAGCAAUGAGAUGCGUACACACCGCCCGUCAUCCCUGUCAACAAACAUAAACAUUCAUAAAAUCAACCAUAAACUAAAACAGGGCAAGUCGUA
rnacentral:rRNA from 1 species